CCACAAUGACAGGAAGAUUUGUCAUCAACAGCAAUUCAGCUGGUAAGUGUUGAUGUUCUGCUCUGAGUGG
ensembl:snoRNA